rnacentral:rRNA from 1 species
AACGAACGCUGGCGGCAUGCCUAACACAUGCAAGUCGAACGAAGCCUUCGGGCUUAGUGGCGCACGGGUGCGUAACGCGUGGGAAUCUGCCCUUGGGUUCGGAAUAACAGUUAGAAAUGACUGCUAAUACCGAAUGAUGUCUUCGGACCAAAGAUUUAUCGCCCAAGGAUGAGCCCGCGUCGGAUUAGCUAGUUGGUGAGGUAAAGGCUCACCAAGGCGACGAUCCGUAGCUGGUCUGAGAGGAUGAUCAGCCACACUGGGACUGAGACACGGCCCAGACUCCUACGGGAGGCAGCAGUGGGGAAUAUUGGACAAUGGGCGAAAGCCUGAUCCAGUGAUGCCGCGUGAGUGAAGAAGGCC